CUGAUCUAAACUGUUUAAUACCUGUUGAUCCACUAAUCGUUUAAACCCUCAAAUUUUAAGUGUUUGUUUGUCUGGUUUCAAUUUGCAUCAUCUCUCAUGUUUCAAUCAAAUCAAUUUUUCAGAGAAAACAGGGACGAUAUGGAGACACCCCUGAGGAAAA